UAUUGUUUAAUCCCUUUUGCUUUGAAUGUAUCCUUUUGUGUGGGUGGCAGAUAUAUAACCACAGACUUUUCCACAGGCAUCCUACCCUAGGUCCAGAAAUGACUCUGAGACGUCUUAUAUAUGAAUGAAUGCCUAGGCCAAUAGCUUUGGCUGAUUUCCACGGGUUCAUAGCUCAGUUAUCCCAUUUAAACUAGUCUAAGUCAUGCCAUGAGGCUACAUACCCCUCCUUCAGUUUCAGGCGACUGUCUUCUCAGUUGUGUAAUGUCCUAUCCUCUGUUGCUGCUCCCCAACCCCCAUCCUUGCGUCAUAGUCCGUCUGUCCUCGUCUCCCCCCAUUUACUUGCACAACGGACUCUACUCUAGAAGUCCUCUCUGUGCUGGAGCUUGCACCUCCGCUCUCCCCGUCUAAGCUAAUAGGCAACAGCAUUGUACAGACAGGUGAUGCUUCCAUACAUCGCACAGGAGAUUCUCCCUACACAGAUACUUAUUCAUCCAGCGUGAAUGCAACCGUCCAGGCGUGUUCUCCUAGUUGUAGUACAUGCUGUUGUAUCAGUCUGAUGAAUUUCUUUGUCUUUACAACCAAGAAAGAUAAUACUGUAAGAAAUUUUGACUAACAUUUUUUCUUUAUUUAAAUUACAGACUAACUGGCUCUUCUGGAUUUGUAACAGAUGGACCUGGGAAUUAUAAAUAUAAGACGAAGUGCACAUGGCUCAUUGAAGGACAGUAAGUUAUAAUGGCUGACUUUAUUUUAAUUUAUUAUAAGAGCACAGUAUAGCACAAAAUACUUCCAUGUGUGUUAUUGCUAUUUCUUGAGACAGGACCUUUCUGACUGAGUAACUCAGGCUGACCUUGAAUUUUGCUAUGCUACCUCUGCUUCCCAAGUGCUAGGGUGGUAGGUGUGGACCACCAUGCCCUGCUGCUAAAAUACCGUUCAUUGAUGCUUUUCAUUUGGAUAGUGUUCUUGCUUUUUAAAAUUUACUUUUUGGGGGACCAGAGAGAUGGCUCAGUGGGUAAAGUGCUUGCUGAACAAGUCUGGUUAUGUGAGUUAAUCCCUGGCUCCCACAGUGGAAGAGUGACUCCUGAAAGUUGUCUUCUGACUCCCACGCUUGUGCAUGCACGCACACACACAAAUAAUAAAAUAAAAAAUUAAAAGGAAAUUUUCUUUUUUGGGUGAUAGGGAUUGAACCUAUGACUUCACUAAGCAAGUGCUCUAUUGUUAAAUAAUUCCUUUAAUUUGUGGGUUUUUUUUUUUUAGGUUCCAAGUUGACUUAAUGUUAUAAAUGAAAGAUACAUACCAGAAAUUUGCAUAUUUCUAAUAGUUUAAAAAACUUAGUUAAAAUCUUUUUAAUAGUUUGCUUAAAUCUUUAUAUAAUAAUGCUAUUAUAUCAUUUUUCUAAAUAUUGAUUUUAUUAUCAGCAAAACAGUAAAUGAGCCAUCAGAAUAACCACUGUAGCCUGUUUCCCUGGCCCUCUGUCCUUCCAUCUGUCUAUCUUCUCUUUUUUUUCCUUUUUUGUGCCUGUCAUUUAGGGCAAAGCAUUUUAGUCUCUGAACAAAACUUUGAAAUUUCCAAGUAACUCUUGUUUAUUUGUUGUGUCUCAUAUUCAACCCAAGAAAUAUUAUUUACUAACUCAUUUAAAAGCAACAAUUAUAACCCACUACAUGUUAGCAGAAAAACCUAUUUGUUUUUAUUGAGACGGGAUCACACUAGUAAGCACUACAUGGCAUGGCGUUCACUGUGUAGACCAGGCAGGCUGGCUUCGUGCUCUUGACAGUCCUCCUGUGUUUGUCUCUCACUUCUGAGUGCUGGGAUUAUAGACAUUACCAACACACCGAUUUGGGGGGUUGGGGUACUGGGAUCAGUCCAGAGUUGCAUGGAUGCUAGGCAAGCACUCCACCAACUUAGCUAUAUCCCUGGUCAUAAAUGUCAUAAGGAAAAAAAUUCCUUAUAUUUAAAGAAAUUUUAAGAAUUGCAUUGUUUAAGAUUUCACAGAUCUCUUUGCUAUCUGGCAAUCUUUUUUGAUAUUUUGUUUUGUUUUUAAAAAUAUGUGGUAUGUAAACAAACUUAAAUAUGAAUGGGACAGUUCCAGAUGAGAGUGAAAAGUUAAAUAUUUGGGAGAAAAAUUGAUAGGUUUAUCUAUUAUGGAAAAUUUCAGAGAUUUUAGUAAAAUUUGAAAAUGGAGCUGGGAGGUCUGAGGUAGUCAUCUAAAGCUGCCAGUUGUAGAGCGUGUUGGAGUGUGGAGUCAGAGGGAGUUACUGAUACACUUGUUGAAAUUGCCCAGGCUUCAUGGGAAGUGAUGAGGGGCUGUUACUGUGACUCUGGGCAGGGCUUGUUAGUUUCCUUUGGAUUUAGUCUCAGUCAGAGUUGAUACAUAGUUUCCUGAGGACGUGGCUUUUUGGUACAGUGCUGUGAAAAGGCAGAGAAGCAGGUAAACUUAGAAAAUGUGUGUUUUUAAAGUGAUGUGUUAUGAAAUCUUACGUAAGAUGAAUAAAGAAAGAAGUGGGGACACUGAGGGCUCCUGUUUCUAAAUGUUAAAAGCAAGGCUGGAAACAUUCUUUGAAGGCCCCUGAAGUCAGAGCCCGUGUCUCUUUUGGUUCCCAGGACAUUUUUGAUAUUCCCUUACACAUAGCAAAUACUAACUAGAUCUCUGACAAAUGCAGGAAAGCUGUUUAUAUUUAUAUAUAUUUAUAUUGUAUAUUUUUCUCCUUAUAAAUUCUUUAAAAGUCUGUUUUAGUAGUUAAUGUUAUGAUUAUUAUAAAUUACUUAAUUAUUUUUCUAGGCCAAAUAGAAUAAUGAGACUUCGCUUCAACCAUUUUGCUACAGAAUGUAGCUGGGACCAUUUAUAUGUUUAUGAUGGGGACUCAAUCUACGCACCUCUGAUUGCUGCCUUUAGGUAAGCCCUGCUGCAUUUCAUCUCAGGAAGUAAGUGUGUCUCCAGGAUGGAGUCCGUGCUGCAUUUACUUUAUUCUGCAGUCACACUCAUCUCAUGGAAUUAGUUCUGUUCUGGUGAGCUACAGUUCACUUGGUUUUUAUGUACUGGGUCGUUUUCCAUGUAUACUAGUAUGUAGCCACGGUUAGUCUUGAACUUCUGGUUCUCCUGCCUCCACCUUCCAAGUGCUAGGAGUAUAGGCUUGUGCCACUGUGCCUGACUCAUUUCACAUUCUUGAACUGUGAAGUUUUGAUAACACUAUUAAAUUUACCUGCUAUUUGUGAUUUUGUUAAAGUUUGCAUUAAAAAGUUUUUGACUAUAUUGAUAAUAUUUUUGUGACAAAUUUAAAUCAGAAACCAUACCUUUCUUGUUCUUGUAUGUAUUUCAUUCCAUAGGCCCUUAGGAAUAACUUUUUUCAAUAGUAUAUAGUUCUCUCAGUUUGUAUAUAUGUAUUAUUAGGGAUAGGAGGAGCUUUCUGGAAGACUAUUUAUAAAUUGGACAAUGGCUAGCUGUUGAGAGUGAGGAAUUUGCUAGUUUUGUUUUGUAAAUCCCUCCCCAAUGCAUCUGUAUUAGUGAUUUAAUAAAAUAAUGCAAUUUUGUCAGU
rnacentral:lncRNA from 1 species